rnacentral:rRNA from 1 species
AUUGAACGCUGGCGGCAUGCUUUACACAUGCAAGUCGAACGGUAACAGGCCGCAAGGUGCUGACGAGUGGCGAACGGGUGGGUAAUGCAUCGGAACGUGCCCAGUCGUGGGGGAUAACGCAGCGAAAGCUGCGCUAAUACCGCAUACGAUCUAUGGAUGAAAGCGGGGGACCGUAAGGCCCCGCGCGAUUGGAGCGGCCGAUGUCAGAUAAGGUAGUUGGUGGGGUAAAGGCUCACCAAGCCAACGAUCUGUAGCUUGUCUGAGAGGACGACCAGCCAAACUGGGACUGAGAAAGGGCACAGACGCCUACGGGAGGCAGCAGUGGGGAAUUUUGGACAAUGGGCGCAAGCCUGAUCCAGCAAUGCCGCGUAGAGGAAGAAGGCCUUCGGGUUGUAAACUGCUUUUGUACGGAACGAAAAGGCUCUGGUUAAUACCUGGGGCUCAUGACGGUACCGUAAGAAUAAGCACCGGCUAACUACGUGCCAGCCGCCGCCGUAAUAC